rnacentral:rRNA from 2 species
ACAGUGGACGCGAGCAUCUGUGGCCAAGUUUUUAAGGGCGCACGGUGGAUGCCUU